UAUCAAGCUAAUGCUAUUUAAAAACCAACUGGUCUUUGUGUUGUUGGAGUUUCGCUUGGUAGCAGUCCUCACCUCAGAGCUGACUUGUUUGUGAAGAGGAGCAGGAAGAAGAUUCUGAGGAAACAUAGAAACACAGCAAAAGACGAGGCUCUGGAAGGACCAAAGCCUCACCUGUAAGAUGAGAGUGCCAAACACUGAGCCGCAGUGCCACCCAUAUAAACAGAGAAAACACAGAGUAGACAUGACAUCCAGCAAGAUUGGGGGUGGCUUGAUUGGCAUGGGACAAUAAGAAGCAUCAAGGCAUUAGUGCAGCUCAUAAGACCAACAGGGAGUAAAGAGACCAGGCCAGCACCGAACAAGGGACAUGGUGGUUAAACUGUAUGUAGCUUAACCAUUCACCACUGGGAAGGAACCAGCACAUUGUUGUUGUUGAGUAAAGAAAAGCAAACAUGAACGUAAACAUAACCUCCUCAAGUUUCAGUGUCUUAUUACUGAAACAACAUUUUUUCACCAGUACUUAUAGAGGGUACAUACAAGUUAGUAAAAGAAUAAUAAAGUUGUGCAAUCAAGUGCACAAAGUUAUUUAGA